rnacentral:rRNA from 1 species
AUUGAACGCUGGCGGAAUGCUUUACACAUGCAAGUCGAACGGCUGCACGGACUUCGGUCUGGUGGCGAGUGGCGAACGGGUGAGUAAUGUAUCGGAACGUGCCCAGUCGUGGGGGAUAACGUAGUGAAAAUUACGCUAAUACCGCAUACGAUCUAUGGAUGAAAGCGGGGGAUCGCAAGACCUCGCGCGAUUGGAGCGGCCGAUAUCAGAUUAGGUAGUUGGUGGGGUAAAGGCCCACCAAGCAAACGAUCUGUAGCUGGUCUGAGAGGACGACCAGCCACACUGGAACUGAGACACGGUCCAGACUCCUACGGGAGGCAGCAGUGGGGAAUUUUGGACAAUGGGCGAAAGCCUGAUCCAGCCAUUCCGCGUGCAGGAUGAAGGCCCUCGGGUUGUAAACUGCUUUUGUACAGAACGAAAAGGUUUCUACUAAUACUAGGAGCUCAUGACGGUACUGUAAGAAUAAGCACCGGCUAACUACGUGCCAGCCGCCGCAGUAA